rnacentral:lncRNA from 1 species
UCGGAGGGAAUAACAAAGAAGGCAUCACAAGAACACAAAACGGUUGACACAAAAUCAAUGGAGUAUACUGCAAGAACUUGUACUCGAUUCGCUGAAAAUGUUUUUAAUCACAAUGCAUGCACUUCCAGUUUGAAGUUGCUUAUGACAAGACGCGGAGGAACGUAACAGUGGACUAGACAGUUCAUUGCUGCCUUCCGACACAAAAUAAACCAGCCAUCAAAUAGACAUCAACUCCAGGUAGCCCAUCAGUAGAAGAAAAACGGAGAGCACCAUCCUGAAUCAACCGUAGAUAAGCUCUCCUGCACAACAUAGAUAAAGGUGGUGAGGACAAUUGAGGGGUGCAGAAGACAUCUCAUGCCAAAAAAAACAAUGCUUAUAUUGCACAUGUUUACAAAGACUAUAUUGCACAUGUUUACAGCUCAAUAGUGUCGCAUAACAUAUAACUGCUGUAGUACACACAAUAUCACUUAACGUAACAUCAGGUUUAGCCUUCCACUGUUUUUGUUGGUAUCAAUACGUAAUAAUUAUAUUUAUCAAUCUUCUUAGACGGGUACAUAGGUCUUAGGCUCUUAGCAUACAGAAUGUAAGUCACACUUUUGUUCCUACACAAUUUAGUUGUAAGAAAGGUUCUGUCAAAACUAUCACGGAAUUUAACUACUUUUAAGUCGUUGUCACUUCCACAGGGAGCAAAACGACUUUCACAUGUCAAUGAAUAAUGAUUCCAUUCCUCAAAAGUGUCAAACUCUGCAAAAGGCCUUCAAAAGCACUUAAAUCCAUAAUAUGCACAUUUGAAGUUCAACAGAACAUUAAACCAGUUUGCUACACCAUUUUUCUGACAUAUCAUCUGAUAACCAUUGACCUAACCUACUAACACAAAAGGUGAAUAUAGCUAACAGAUCUUACACCGCUAUUUGGAAGUAUCAUAUGGUGCUAUGCAACUUCAUAAAUGCACAAAAUGGUGAUACAAAAAGAUGGCCUGCAGUAACUUGAAGGUUGAUACAACUGUCACCGCAGUCCCAAACUAUGCAUAGCCAACGCAAUACACAGUGCAAGCUAUAAUCACAAAUGAUACCCAAACAAAUGUGUCAUUCAACAGUUUCCUUUGCCAUUCGAGAACUAUAACAGAAAAGUGCAAGCCAUAGAAGUGGUCAAACUUUGUAAAACUCAAGGAUGUCUUGAGAUUUUGCAUCACUGGCAGAAUGAAAUGGGCGUGAAACAGAAAACACCAAGAUCAUUCAGAUCCUCAUACAGUUCCACUAUUGGCGGUCAUAUAGACCAAUCAAUUGCCACUACGCAAGUGAUUCAAAUGCACAAAUGCCCCCACAAUAUUGUUCCCGACAACCAGAAUUCAUACAAAACCUCGUCCAAAUGACCAAACAAGUUCACAGACCCCGCCAGAACAUUUUGCAUCUAAUCGUACCGCACACCACGUACAUGCGACCUUACCUAAAUUAAACCAUACGACAAUCGUCAAGCAGACGGGGUUCAAACCCCCGAAAAGCAUCUCAUCGCACCACCGGAUCGGAUCAGGAAACAGAAAUGAUACAAUAGAACCCUCACCUGCGCGGGGCGGAUCCGGAUCUAGUGGCCGCCGUGCUUCUCGAGGUGCUCGAGGUGGCGGCGCUCCUGGGGCAGGCCCACGAGGUACGAGAAGGCCAUGCCGCCGAAGCAGA